GACGAACGCUGGCGGCGUGCUUAACACAUGCAAGUCGAACGGUAAGGCCCUUCGGGUACGACGAGUGGCGAACGGGUGAGUAACACGUGGGUGAUCUGCCCUGCACUUCGGGAUAAGCCUGGGAAACUGGGUCUAAUACCGGAUAGGACCUUGGACUUCACGGUUUGUGGUGGAAAGCUUUUGCGGUGUGGGAUGGGCCCGCGGCCUAUCAGCUUGUUGGUGGGGUAAUGGCCUACCAAGGCGACGACGGGUAGCCGGCCUGAGAGGGUGUCCGGCCACACUGGGACUGAGAUACGGCCCAGACUCCUACGGGAGGCAGCAGUGGGGAAUAUUGCACAAUGGGCGCAAGCCUGAUGCAGCGACGCCGCGUGAGGGA
rnacentral:rRNA from 1 species